AAUGAACGCUGGCGGCGUGCUUAACACAUGCAAGUCGAACGAUGAAGAUACUGCUUGCAGUAUCUGAUUAGUGGCGCACGGGUGAGUAAUAUAUAGAUAACGUGCCUCCGAGACCGGGAUAGCCAUUGGAAACGAUGAUUAAUACUGGAUACUCCUUCUCAUUAUAAUAUGAGUCGGGAAAGUUUUUCGCUCGGAGAUCGGUCUAUAUCCCAUCAGUUAGUUGGUAAGGUAACGGCUUACCAAGGCAAUGACGGGUAGCGGGUUUGAGAGGAUGAUCCGCCACACUGGUACUGAGACACGGACCAGACUCCUACGGGAGGCAGCAGUGAGGAAUAUUGCACAAUGGGGGAAACCCUGAUGCAGCAACGCCGCGUGGAGGAUGACGCAUUUCGGUGUGUAAACUCCUUUUAUAUGUCCAAGAAAAUGACGGUAGCAUAUGAAUAAGCACCGGCUAACUCCGUGCCAGCCGCCGCGGUAAUU
rnacentral:rRNA from 1 species